rnacentral:rRNA from 1 species
AGUCUGCUCUAUCAACUGUCGAUGGUACGUUAUGCGCUUAUCAUGGUAAUGACAGGUAACGGAGAAUCAGGGUUCGAUUCCCGAAAGGGAGCCUGAGAAACGGCUACCACAUCCCAGGAAGGCAGCAGGCACGCAAAUUACCCACUCCUGACACGGGGAGGUAGUGACAAAAAAUAACGAUACAGGCCUCUUCGGAGGCUCUGUGAUCGGAAUGAGUACACUUUAAAUUCUUUAACGAGGAUCUACUGGAGGGCAAGUCUGGUGCCAGCAGCCGCGGUAAUUCCAGCUCCAGCAGCGUAUAUUAA